CCUACGGGGGGCAGCAGUAGGGAAUUUUGCGCAAUGGGCGAAAGCCUGACGCAGCAACGCCGCGUGAUCGAGACGCCCUUCGGGGUGUAAAGAUCUGUCAGUGGGGACGAAACUUGACGGUACCCACAGAGGAAGCACCGGCUAACUCCGUGCCAGCAGCCGCGGUAAUACGGGGGGUGCAAGCGUUGUCCGGAAUCAUUGGGCGUAAAGGGUGCGUAGGCGGAUCGUUAAGUCAGUGGUCAAAUUGAGGGGCUCAACCCCUUCCCGCCAUUGAAACUGGCGUUCUUGAGUGGAAGAGAAGUAUGCGGAAUGCGUGGUGUAGCGGUGAAAUGCAUAGAUAUCACGCAGAACCCCGAUUGCGAAGGCAGCAUGCCGGCUUCCGACUGACGCUGAAGCACGAAAGCGUGGGGAUCGAACAGGAUUAGAUACCCGAGUAGUC
rnacentral:rRNA from 1 species